rnacentral:rRNA from 1 species
CAAUAGCGUAUAUUAAAGUUGUUGCAGUUAAAAAGCUCGUAGUUGGAUUUCGGGACGGGCCAGUUGGUCCGCCGCAAGGUGUGUUACUGACUGGUCUGUUCUUCUUCGCAAAGACUGCGUGUGCUCUUCGUUGAGUGUGCGUAGGAUUUACGACGUUUACUUUGAAAAAAUUAGAGUGUUCAAAGCAGGCUAUCGCUUGAAUACAUGAGCACGGAAUAAUGGAAUAGGACUUUGGUCCUAUUUUGUUGGUUUCUAGGACCGAAGUAAUGAUUAAGAGGGACAAUUGGGGGCAUCCGUAUUUCGUUGUCAGAGGUGAAAUUCUUGGAUUUACGAAAGACGAACAACUGCGAAAGCACUUGCCAAGAGUGUUUUCAUUAA